rnacentral:rRNA from 1 species
CAGUAGCCGCGGUAAUACAGAGGGUGCGAGCGUUAAUCGGAUUUACUGGGCGUAAAGCGUGCGUAGGCGGCUUUUUAAGUCGGAUGUGAAAUCCCUGAGCUUAACUUAGGAAUUGCAUUCGAUACUGGGAAGCUAGAGUAUGGGAGGGGAUGGUAGAAUUCCAGGUGUAGCGGUGAAAUGCGUAGAGAUCUGGAGGAAUACCGAUGGCGAAGGCAGCCAUCUGGCCUAAUACUGACGCUGAGGUACGAAAGCAUGGGGAGCAAACAGGAUUAGAGACCCCGGUAGUCCCUGUCUCUUAUAA